rnacentral:rRNA from 1 species
CAGUCGCCGCGGUAAUACGAAGGGUGCAAGCGUUGCUCGGAAUUACUGGGCGUAAAGCGUGCGUAGGUGGUGGUUUAAGUCCGUUGUGAAAGCCCUGGGCUCAACCUGGGAAUUGCAGUGGAUACUGGGUCACUAGAGUGUGGUAGAGGAUAGUGGAAUUUCCGGUGUAGCAGUGAAAUGCGUAGAGAUCGGAAGGAACAUCUGUGGCGAAGGCGACUAUCUGGGCCAACACUGACACUGAGGCACGAAAGCGUGGGGAGCAAACAGGAUUAGAUACCCGCGUAGUCCCUGUCUCUUAUAC